UACGAAGGGGGGCUAGCGUUGCUCGGAAUCACUGGGCGUAAAGGGUGCGUAGGCGGGUCUUUAAGUCAGGGGUGAAAUCCUGGAGCUCAACUCCAGAACUGCCUUUGAUACUGAAGAUCUUGAGUUCGGGAGAGGUGAGUGGAACUGCGAGUGUAGAGGUGAAAUUCGUAGAUAUUCGCAAGAACACCAGUGGCGAAGGCGGCUCACUGGCCCGAUACUGACGCUGAGGAGCGAAAGCGUGGGGAGCGAACAGG
rnacentral:rRNA from 1 species